CCUACGGGGGGCUGCAGUCGAGAAUCUUUCGCAAUGGGCGAAAGCCUGACGAAGCGACGCCGUGUGAGCGAAGAAGGCCCUUGGGUUGUAAAGCUCUUUCGCUAGGGAACAAGAGAAGAUAGCAAAUAACUAUCUAAUUUGAGGGUACCUGGUAAAGAAGCACCGGCUAACUCCGUGCCAGCAGCUGCGGUAAUACGGAGGGUGCAAGCAUUAAUCGGAAUUAUUGGGCGUAAAGGGCGCGUAGGCCGAUUUGUAAGUCAGAUGUGAAAUACCGAGGCUCAACCUCGGUGCCGCAUUUGAAACUACAAAUCUAGAGGGUUGACGGAGAAAACGGAAUUCCACGUGUAGCGGUGAAAUGCGUGGAUAUGUGGAAGAACACCGGUGGCGAAAGCGGUUUUCUAGUUAAUACCUGACGCUGAGGCGCGAGAGCAAGGGGAGCAAACAGGAUUAGAUACCCUUGUAGUC
rnacentral:rRNA from 1 species